GAGGCGGGGCGAUGGCUUCGCCGCACCAGGAGGCCAGACUGGCGGCAGCCAGCCUUCUCCUGUCUGCAAAUCCCAUCACCGGAGCAAGGGUCGCCCAGUACGAAAGCGAAGACUCCUUAGAGUCCUUGGUAGCAGCGGGGUUGGCGGCGGCCAUGGAGGAGGAGGAACAGAAGAAAGUGUGGCAGAUGCGGGCGUCGGUAAUGCAGGUUGUCACAACUUUUCUGGGAAGGAUGAAGAGGUGGCAUUCGAGAGCACUAUGAACUUCUCUGAUAUUUACCACUCUGAUGAAGAGUAUUUCAGGAAACUCAAAGACCUGAAGGCUGUCCAUGAAGAAACCAUGUCAAAAUUAGAGAAAAUGUACCAGGACAAGCUAAAUAUAAAAGACAUCCAGGCGGGGUUCAUCAGGGAUGGGAUCAGCGAUUCGUCUUCGAGUUCUGCAUCGGAAAAGAGCUGCUCACAUCCUGCCUUGUCAGUGACCUCACUUUCAGAGCCUGACCUAGACGGGUCGUCCUCCUUGUCCACAACUACUGAUGAGGGGUUGCCCGACCUAGAGGAAAAGACUCCCGGGGAAAGCAGCGCAAUGGUCCAUGCCCAGGAGCUCAUAAACAACAUGUGGAACGACUUUUCUGUUGAAGAUUAUAUUCAGUAUGACUCAGACUCCCGAACAGCUAAGAAAAAAAGGAAGAAAGCUAAAUCCUUGACACCCAAGAUUACAGUGCCUGUACCCUUUGAAAUGACGGUAAGAGAGCAGAAUCGGAGAGAGAAGGCCUUGAGUGCUCGGUCAGAUCUGGAAACAAAGCUGCUCAAGAGGGACGAGGACGAUGCAGAGUGUAAGAAGAAAUUCCGAGCCAAUCCCGUUCCUUCCUGCGUGCUCCUUCCCCUUUAUGAGGAUCUAGUCAAGCAGAGUGAGGAGCGCCGGAAGAAGGCCCGGGAGAGGAACAGAGCUGCGCUCCUGGCCUCCCUGAAGCCCUUUAAGUUCAUUGCGAGGGAGGAACAGAAGCAAGCAGUCCGCGAGAAGAAGCUGAGAGACCUUUUUAGGGCUAAAAGGAAAACGAAUCAGUUUAAAGCCAAACCUGUGCCUCGUUUUAUUUACAGGCCAGCUGCGAGUGACAAGCCAAAGGAAGAAGAGCUCUAUGGGGACAGCAGGAUGCUGCCAAAGGUCAGAGAUCUGUUACAGAAUUCGCCUUGGCCCAGUCGGUCAGCUUGCAGACGUUUCAGGGACCCCAGAAGUCCUGCAAAGCCCAGGGGUAAACACAGGCGUAGGUGCCUGAGGCGUGAUGGAGACUUAGAAAAAUGGAAGGAGCCCUUCUCUGAAUACAGCUUUCUGAAAUGCCCAAUGCUUUGUGAAGAGUGUUGUCUUCACGAAUCCCCUUGUGACUCUGAUAAAAGACAGAAACUCUUGGCAGACAUCAGAGCAGAUGAAGAAAUUUUGAGAGAAACACGCAGGCCGGGUCGGUCUCCUAGGCGCAAGUCACCGGGAAGAAGCUCGAACCCAAAGCCCAGGCCUCAUGAAUGCAGCCCACCGAUGCCCACCGCGUCUUCCCGAGGGCGGGAGCAAGCCAUCAGGAAAUCCCUUGAGGAAAAGAAAAUGUUGGAAGAAGAGAGAAAUCGGAUCCUAACUAAACAGAAGCAAAGAAUGAAAGACUUGCAGAAACUGCUGGCAACCCGGGUUAAGGCUUAUGGCUCCCACCAGAGCUUGUCUCAGAUAGUUAAAGCCAGGGUGAAGGAGCUCAGGUACCACGGAAGAGCCUGGGAACGCCAACAUCAGCUGCCAAACUCCCUUUCCUUCCCUUUCCUUUCCUUUCCUUCCCUUUCCUUUCCUUUCCUUUCCUUUCCUUUCCUUUCCUUUCCUUUCCUUUCCUUUCCUUUCCUUUCCUUUCCUUUCCUCCUGCUUAACUAGUGGAUACCUAGAUAUGAAAAUACUAUGGCAUCUUAAUUUAUGGAUUUAAAUAAUCUUUGGCUGUUCCUACUCAACUGUUACAUAUAUGCACACAUAUACAUCUUAUAAUGACAGUCAGUGUAUUUACUUACCUCCAUAGCGAGAACCAUGAGACCAUGUGGAACAGAAAUGGCUUUGUUAUGGUCAUAGUUAGUAAUUGCUUAAAAACCAGCACAAAACCUUAUUUAUGCAAGUGUGUUCUUAUUUAUAAAUUAUGUAAAUAUUUGGCAUAUAUACAUGCAUUGCAUACAUACAUUAUACAUACAUACAUAUGUACAUUAUACAUCUGGUGCUGGGGGCUGGGCAUGUGAGGACCAAAGCCAGGAUCUUGUACACAGACUGGCUGAUCUGGAUAAGUCAGGGAGUUCUGUUCGAAGUUUGUACCAAAUACAACAGUUUGAGUGGAUGCAUGGUGGGUACAUGCUGCCCCUCAUGACUGAUAGCAGCCACAGAACACCUACAGUCCUUUACAGAAUACUACUAGAAUUCUAUAAAGCAGAGUCUGAAAACCAGCAUUCCAAACAUUGCACAUAAAAAUGGUCAUGCUUAAGCAAGAAAAGGCCCUCCAAAGCUGGAAGGAGUGAAAAGGCCAGGAUGAGAGAAUAUUGGCAAGAACUGGAGGAACAAGAGGAAAAACUGCAGAAGAGGCCGAUGUUGUUUGAAAGAGUCACCCAGAGAAAUGCAAGGAUGGCCGCAGAGAGGUGUUACUCUAACACUCUAAAAGCACUAGGACUCCUUGAGGAGUUUGUUUCAGAGAAAGGCCAAAGUGGAAAAGUGUCUGAAGACUUCACCAGGCAAGAGCUGAGAAGCUGCACACUGGAGAAAGAAAGCUCUUAUGGAGAAGAAAGAGAGAAUGAGGAAGAAAGCUAUUUAACUGAUAUCAGCAGCCAGGAUUCUUGCAAGGGAAACAAGGAAGAUAUUAAAGAUAUUAAAAGUGGAGAAGAAAAUUCUGGAGAAUGAAUCCGAAUCACAAGGUUUCUUGUCUCGCUGACCCUCCCCAUGUGCAGCCUCAGGACUCAGAGCCUGCGCUUGGGUUACUGUGAGCAUCCGCGGGGACAGCUCUCACACACGCAGGCCUGCUGAACCAGGACACCAUGCCUGGAAAGGCUGAGUCCACAGGACAAGUGAUUUGGUUGCUACCUUACAGCUUUGCAUGCUGAAGUUUAGAAAUUGCUAUGCUCUUUAUGAUUAUGAUUAUAUUUGUAUUUUCAAAGUGUUUGAGGGUUGGAGAACCACAGCUGACACAAAUGGAUUAGUUAUGGAAAUGUAUAUUUGCAUUUGAUAGGGAAAAAUUGGUAUUGAUAGAACUAUUAGCUUUUGAAGAUCUAUUUUUAAAUGCACUAUUUUCAUUUUUUUUCUCAGAACCAGUUUUAAAUAAGUAAUAUACUACAGAAAAAGUAGAUAUUUGGAAAUUUACAGUAAUUUUGAUACUGAAAAGAUUUACUGCUAAAUCCACACCAUGGCUACUUUUUCCUUUUUUUGCCCUUUUUCUGGUGAAGAUUAAACCUAGAGCUCACACAUACUUAACUCAAUGAAUUCUACCAUUUGCUAUAUCCUCAAUCCUCCCGUUAUUUUUGAUAGAUAAAGUAUUAAAAUUACUUAUGCUACUUUUAGAAUCCUGUGUAUUCUUGUAUAUAGACUAAUUAUGGCCCUUGUGAGUGGUAAUCUUAAGAGAUAAGGGUUACUGUUCUAUAUAUGCUGACAUUGUGAUCCUAACUUGCCAAAGGAAAAUCCUAAACGUAAUUCAGAUUUAUUUAUUUAUCCUUGGCUUUUUUUUAUUUUUUAGUGUUUCAUUUUUGUUUGUUUCUUUUUCCUUUUUUUUUCUUUCUUUUCCUUGAUUUUUUUUUUUUUUUUUUUUUGAGACAAAGUUUCUCUGUGUAGCCCUGGCUGUCCUGAACUUAAUUUGUAGAUCAGGCUGACCUGGAACUCAGAGAUCCACCUGCCUCUGCCUUUCUAGUGCUGAACAAUUAAAGAAGUGUGGCACCACUGCUGGACAGUUUUAUCCAUGACUUUGUGUCUGUCUGUGUGUAGGAAUGUGGAUGUGAGUUUGGGUGCCUAUGGAGGCCAGAAGAGAGUGUCAGUAUCCCUGGGGCUGAGGCUCCCAGUGCUGUGAACUGGGUGCUGGAAAUUACACUUGUGUCCUUUGUAAGAGCAGUGUGUGUGUUUAACCACUGAGCCAGCUCUCCAAUCGAACCAGCUUGGUAUUAUACUUCAAAAAUAAUCAAUAAUAAAAUAUAAUCAGUAAUAUUGACCAUA